rnacentral:rRNA from 1 species
CAAAAACAUAGCUAUGUGCAUUUACAGAUAGUGAUUUCUGCUCAAUGAGGUUUAAAUAGCCGCAGUACCCUGACUGUGCAAAGGUAGCGUAAUCAGUUGUCUUCUAAUUAAAGUCUUGCAUCAACGAAUAUAUGAGGGCCCACUUUACCAGCAGUAUAUACUGAACUUGCUAAGGAAGUGAAAAUACUUUCGCAACUUAAUAGACGAGAAGACCCUAGAAAUUUUCACAAAUGUUUUUGUUGGGGCAACAUAGUAACAUAAAACUUACUCUAUGGGCAAGACAAGUUUGCGGGAGAUAAAAUUACUCUAGGGAUAACAGCAUAAUGUAGAAUCGUUUGUGACCUCGAUGUUGGACUAGGAAGUUAUAGUUUAAAAGGUACUUGACUUUGCUCUGUUCGAGCA